AUUUAGUUAUGAAUGCUGAUGGGCCCUAUUUAGUGAUGAAUGGUGAUGGAGUAGGAUCCAUAAUAGAGGCACUGUUGUAUUAUAUUGAUUAUUUUGGAU